UACAGAGGUCUCAAGCGUUUGUUCGGAUUCAUUGGGCGUAAAGGGUGCGUAGGCGGCGCGGUGAAGUCGGGUGUGAAAUCUUGGAGCUUAACUCCGAAACUGCAUUCGAUACUGCCGUGCUUGAGGACUGGAGAGGAGACUGGAAUUUACGGUGUAGCGGUGAAAUGCGUAGAUAGUCGUAAGGAAGACCAGUUGGCGAAGGCGGGUCUC
rnacentral:rRNA from 1 species